rnacentral:rRNA from 1 species
GACGAACGCUGGCGGCGCGCCUAACACAUGCAAGUCGAACGGGAUUUUUAGGAGCUUGCUCCUGGCAAUCUAGUGGCGGACGGGUGAGUAACACGUGAGCAACCUGCCUUUCAGAGGGGGAUAACGUUCGGAAACGGACGCUAAUACCGCAUAACAUGCCGUGGGGGCAUCCCUAUGGUAUCAAAGGAGCAAUCCGCUGAAAGAUGGGCUCGCGCCCGAUUAGAUAGUUGGUGGGGUAACGGCCCACCAAGUCUGCGAUCGGUAGCCGGACUGAGAGGUUGAUCGGCCACAUUGGGACUGAGACACGGCCCAGACUCCUACGGGAGGCAGCAGUGGGGAAUAUUGCACAAUGGGGGAAACCCUGAUGCAGCGACGCCGCGUGAGUGAAGACGGUCUUCGGAUUGUAAAGCUCUGUUGAGGGGGACGAUAAUGACGGUACCCCUUUAGAAAGCCACGGCUAACUACGUGCCAGCCGCCGCCGUAAAAC